AUUGAACGCUGGCGGCAGGCCUAACACAUGCAAGUCGAACGAGUGGCGGACGGGUGAGUAAUGUCUGGGAAACUGCCUGAUGGAGGGGGAUAACUGCUGGAAACGGUAGCUAAUUCCGCAUACCCUCGGAUGUGCCCAAAUGGGAUUAGCUAGUAGGGGGGGUAAAGGCUCCCCUCGGCGACGAUCCCUAGCUGGUCUGAGAAGAUGACCAGCCACCCUGGAACGUGGACACGGUCCAGAAUCCUACGGGAGGCAGCAGUGGGGAAUAGUGCACAAUGGGCGGAAGCCUGAUGCGGCGAUUCCGCGUGUGUGAAGAAGGUCGUCGGAUUGUAAAGCACUUUAAGUUGGGAGGCGUUACCAACAGAAUAAGCACCGGCUAACUUCGUGCCAGCAGCCGCGGUAAUAC
rnacentral:rRNA from 1 species